GACGAACGCUGGCGGCGUGCUUAACACAUGCAAGUCGAACGGUGAAACUCUUCGGUGGGGAUCCGUGGCGAACGGGUGGGUAACACGUGGGCACCCUGACCCCGGCUCUGGGAUAACUCCAAGAAAUCGGGGCUAAUACCGGAUGUUCACCGCUUCUCGCAUGGGGGGUGGUGGAAUGGGUUUCCGGCUGGGGAUGGGCCCGCGGCCAAUCAGCUUGUUGGGGGGGUAGGGGCCUACCAAGGCGACGGCGGGUAGCCGGCCUGAGAGGGUGACCGGCCACCCGAGUCCUGAGACACGGCCCAGUAGCCUACGGGCGGCAGCAGUGGGGAAUAUUGCGCAACGGGCGGAAGCCUGACACAGCGGCGCCGCGUUCGGGAUGACGUCCUUCGGGUUAAAAACCUCUUUCUGCGGGAACGAAGCGGUAGUGACGGUACCUGCAGAAGAAGCACCGGCCAACUACGUG
rnacentral:rRNA from 1 species